rnacentral:lncRNA from 1 species
AAGAGAGAGUACACAAAGAGAUAGAUUUAUGGUAGAUAUUCCUUUAUGAGUCAAUGAAGCCAACCUAUAUUGUAGUGGCGAAAUUAGAACAUUUUUAGAGGGAGUCAAAAUAUAUGAGUAAAAAAAUAUAUUUAUUGAUGCUUGAAAUGCUUUUUUCAAAUUCAUUUUGUCCAAUUAUAGUAUUUCAUAACAUCCUAUUCCAACCCUUAUCAACAUUUG